rnacentral:rRNA from 1 species
AGCGAACGCUGGCGGCAUGCUUAACACAUGCAAGUCGAACGGGCAGCCAUGUCAGUGGCGGACGGGUGAGUAACGCGUCGGAACGUGUACUGAGGUGGGGGACAACCUCGGGUAACUGGGGACUUUACCGCAUAUGGGCUGAGGCCCAAUACCGAGACGUGCCUUUGGAUCGGCCUGCGUCAGAUUCGGUGGUUGGUGGGGUACAGGCCUAUCAUGCCUGCGUUGGGUAGCUGGUCUGUGAGCACGGCUUGCUACACUUGCACUGAGACACGGCCCAGACCCCUACGGGACAGAGCAGUGUAGUGUAUUGUACAAUGGGCGAUAGCCUGAUCCAGCAGUGCCGCGUGUGUGAAGAAGGUCGUCGGAUCGUAAAGCCCUUUCUACCGGAACGAUGAUGACGGUACCCGUAGAAGAAGCCCCGGCUAACUUCGUG